GUUAUUUGACUGGAGUGAGGUCUCAUGUCUGCUUAUGCGGUGGCUCGCUGCUCAGAACAGGAUGGCAGAGAUGAGCACCACCAUCAAAAACUCAAGGACCAGUGCUGUGGGUCCAGUCAUCUGUUUCAUGGAAUUCACCAGUCUGGUAUCUUCAAAAUCCAGAAGGAUGAUGGCAGAUGGCAGGAAGGAACCAUUGGAGAUACUCAUUACUCUUUGAAGGCUUACAGUGGAAUGAAUUCAAAUACGACUUAUUUGAGGAAUUGAAGUUGACUUUAUGGAGCUGAUAAGAAUCUUCUUGGAGAAAAAAAGACUGGGUAUAUUUUCAAUAUGCUUUCCUUUUAAGGUCCCUCACCUGUGGAAAGUAAAGAAUGUCACUUUCUGACAGGCUCAGGAACCUCAAGUUAUGUAGGGAUCUCAAGAAGAUGGGGGAAUUCACCCAGUUCAUACAGGUGAAAUUGCUGUUGCAAAGAUUAUGAAUAUGAGAGAAGUCCAGCAUGGCUGACUUCAUCUCGUGUCUGGCCUCAGGCUGGCUGCCCUUGCUCACUCUUGGGCAUAGGCCAAGCUAGCCAUGGGAGGAAUUUAGUUUAUAGUUUAACUUUGAAGCACGGAUGAUAAUAGUCUCUCCCUAAAAUGAACCCCUUCCUUGCUCAGGGACUGAAACUACCUUUGUAUGACAAAUGAAAGCCCACAAGAUUAAGAUUAUGAGAGGGGCCUGAAUUCUGCUAAAAUGCAGGUGUAGCUGACUGAUAACAAGUCAUUGUCCCACAGCUUGCCUUUCUAUAAUCUCUUGCUUCUCAGGAGUCACAUGGCCAGAGGUCCUGAGAUUUCCAGUCCUGUGACCCCCACCCAGAGAUGGACUUAGUGCAUGAGGACCAUUUUCCACACCCCUAUGAUUUCAUCCUCAAACAAUCAGCAGCAACCAUUCCCUAGCCCCCUGCCUUCCAAAUUAUCCAUAAAAAUCCUAGCCUCUGAGUUAUUAGGGAGAUUGAUUAAUAAUCCCAGUCCUACCCCUUGGGUUGCUCUGAUUUAAUUAAACCUUCUCUACUGCAAUACCACGGACUCAGUAAAUUGGUUUUGUCUGUGCAAUGGGCAAGAAGAACAUGUUGCAUGGUUAUACAGGUACUACAAGCACAGUCUGAUGGCAAAUUAUUGGUUUUGCUUCCUGCCCUUGAUGUUUCUAAACAUCUAGUCCAAAAUUACUUGUGAAAGGUCCAGCAAAGCCAAUUUUAAAAGAGGCUAUAUGGCCAAUCACUAUUCUUUCUACACAUUAUUGCAAAUAAUCAGGCCACGGCUGGGCACGGUGGCUCAUGCCUGCAAUCCCAGCACUUUGGGAGGCUGAGGCAGGAUCACCUGAAAUCAGGAGUUCAAGACCAGCCUAGGCAACAUGAUAAAACCCUGUCUCUACUAAAAAUACAAAA
ensembl:lncRNA PCAT19 prostate cancer associated transcript 19